rnacentral:rRNA from 1 species
GAUGACCUUUGGGGGCGCGCCUAACACAUGCAAGUCGAACGGCACCUAUCUUCGGAUAGAAGCGAGUGGCGAACGGCUGAGUAACACGUGGAGAACCUGCCCCCUCCCCCGGGAUAGCCGCCCGAAAGGACGGGUAAUACCGGAUACCCCGGGGUGCCGCAUGGCACCCCGGCUAAAGCCCCGAGGGGAGGGGAUGGCUCCGCGGCCCAUCAGGUAGACGGCGGGGUGACGGCCCACCGUGCCGACAACGGGUAGCCGGGUUGAGAGACCGACCGGCCAGAUUGGGACUGAGACACGGCCCACACUCCUACGGGAGGCAGCAGUGGGGAAUCUUGCGCGGUGGGGGGAACCCUGACGCAGCGACGCCGCGUGCGGGACGGAGGCCUUCGGGUCGUAAACCGCUUUCAGCAGGGAAGAGUCAAGACUGUACCUGCAGAAGAAGCCCCGGCUAACUACGUGCCAGCAGCCGCGGUAAUACGUAGGGGGCGAGCGUUAUCCGGAUUCAUUGGGCGUAAAGCGCGCGCAGGCGGCCCGGCAGGCCGGGGGUCGAAGCGGGGGGCUCAACCCCCCGAAGCCCCCGGAACCUCCGCGGCUUGGGUCCGGUAGGGGAGGGUGGAACACCCGGUGUAGCGGUGGAAUGCGCAGAUAUCGGGUGGAACACCGGUGGCGAAGGCGGCCCUCUGGGCCGAGACCGACGCUGAGGCGCGAAAGCUGGGGGAGCGAAAAGGAUUAGAUACCCUGGUAGUCCCCAGCCGUAAACGAUGGACGCUAGGUGUGGGGGGACGAUCCCCCCGUGCCGCAGCCAACGCAUUAAGCGUCCCGCCUGGGGAGUACGGCCGCAAGGCUAAAACUCAAAGGAAUUGACGGGGGCCCGCACAAGCAGCGGAGCAUGUGGCUUAAUUCGAAGCAACGCGAAGAACCUUACCAGGGCUUGACAUAUGGGUGAAGCGGGGGAGACCCCGUGGCCGAGAGGAGCCCAUACAGGUGGUGCAUGGCUGUCGUCAGCUCGUGUCGUGAGAUGUUGGGUUAAGUCCCGCAACGAGCGCAACCCCCGCUGCGUGUUGCCAUCGGGUGAUGCCGGGAACCCACGCGGGACCGCCGCCGUCAAGGCGGAGGAGGGCGGGGACGACGUCAAGUCAUCAUGCCCCUUAUGCCCUGGGCUGCACACGUGCUACAAUGGCCGGUACAGAGGGAUGCCACCCCGCGAGGGGGAGCGGAUCCCGGAAAGCCGGCCCCAGUUCGGAUUGGGGGCUGCAACCCGCCCCCAUGAAGUCGGAGUUGCUAGUAAUCGCGGAUCAGCAUGCCGCGGUGAAUGCGUUCCCGGGCCUUGUACACACGGCCCGUC